AAUUCAAGAGGACACUGGUCCAUGGCUAUCUUUCUUUUCUUACUGUAUCUUGUAACUUCUGUGGUGCUUUAUCGAGAUUUACCAGGUAAGGACCUAGGAAUAUAUAGUGAAUAGGAAAGGCAAUCUCAGAAAAUAAAAGUGAGAUUAUGGGAAAAGUAAGACAGGGAAGUGUUAACUGGCAGUAACUACCAUGUUAUCAAGUUGGUUACUACUGUAAAUAACUCAGAGACUAUCCCUCUGGUGAUAUCCCAUUAAGGUAUCAUGCAGGGCAUGUCUUAGAAUUAUCCACCAAAGGAUGAGGAAGCUGUGCACCUAUGUCCUUAUGCUCAUCUCAUUAUUUGAAGGGUUUUUAGGGGACAUCAAAUUCUGCACUCCAUUAUUGUACAAGCUUAUGGCUGAAUGACUUUUUGUGUAUAGAGUAGCUAGAUACUGGACACUGGCAAAUAUGUGUGAAACUGUUAAGUGGUCUAAGGAAGUGGUGCCUCACAAGUGCCCACUAUAGCACAUUACUUAGAUAUAUGGAUAUGAAGACCAGAUGAAACAGUUAAAAGAGUUGAAGUUACAGUAAUUGGAUUUGGAGAAUAGUACUCUUGGAGGUGGGCAAUGAAAUGCAAGUG
rnacentral:lncRNA from 1 species